rnacentral:lncRNA from 1 species
UCGCAGGCUCCCUCCUGCUCUCCGGCACCGUGCGAGGCAGCGACGGCUCGGUGGAACCUUUCACCAAGGGAGGAUAAGAGCCUCCAGAAGAACAUGUUUCCAGAUGCUGGCCUGGCCUGCAGAAGGUGCUUUAUAAAUGAAGUGCUGACAGUCAGGCAAGAAACAAAUGAAAGUGUUCUGGAAUGCUUCCUUCAGGGCUGGAGAAGCCACUGUAACCUGAAGGUAUCUGGAACCAGCUUAAAUAGCAUUAAAAGUUUCUGUAAGACCUUGUCUCUUACCAUUAUUCUGAGCACCUAACUUCAGCAGCACUUGGUUAUUGAACUAGAAACUUGCCUUUGUAAUAGUGCCUAAAUUCUGUUGUUUAAAGUAAUGAAAGGGCAUUAAUUUCCUCAAGAAUCUACAGUAUUUAGGCUCAUAAUGUUUGGGAAGAUCCUGGAGGAUCUUACAGCUUUAUACUCCACUGGGACAGGCAGGAAUGCUGCCAAGAUCAGCAGUUCUGGCUGCCACACAUGAGGCUAUGCAGGUGGGUGAGCACUGCCAUGCCAUGGCAAGAGGCCUUAGGAUGAGGAGAAAAGGGCAGUUCUCAGAUUGAAAUGAAUAAUAUAGCCCUGAUCAGGUUUCUCUAAAUCCCAUUGCCCUUGUCCAGAUCAGGGUACGUACCAAAGAUUUACAUGAGUUAGUAU